rnacentral:rRNA from 1 species
UACGGGGGGAGCAAGCGUUGUUCGGAUUUACUGGGCGUAAAGGGCGCGUAGGCGGCCACCGCAAGUCGACUGUGAAAUCUCCGGGCUUAACCCGGAAAGGUCAGCCGAUACUGCGGGGCUAGAGUGCAGAAGGGGCAACUGGAAUUCUCGGUGUAGCGGUGAAAUGCGUAGAUAUCGAGAGGAACACCUGCGGCGAAGGCGGGUUGCUGGGCUGACACUGACGCUGGAGGCGCGAAGGGCUAGGGGAGCGAACGGG